rnacentral:rRNA from 1 species
AGAGUUUGAUCCUGGCUCAGAAUGAACGUUGGCGGCGUGCCUAACACAUGCAAGUCGAGCGAGAAAGUCCUUCGGGAUGAGUACAGCGGCGAACGGUUGAGUAACACGUGAGAAUCUACCCUUCAGUGAAGAAUACCCUCGAGAAAUCGAGGUUAAUGCUGCAUACGUCCCUUCGGGGAGAAAGGCGGCCUCUUUGCUGUCGCUGAAGGAUGAGCUUGCGGCCUAUCAGCUAGUUGGUGAGGUAAUGGCUCACCAAGGCUAUGACGGGUAGCCGGCCUGAGAGGGCGAUCGGCCAGACUGGAACUUAGACACGGUCCAGACUCCUACGGGAGGCAGCAGUGGGGAAUCUUGCGCAAUGGGCGAAAGCCUGACGCAGCGACGCCGCGUGAAGGAUGAAGGCCUUCGGGUUGUAAACUUCUGUUAAGUGGGAAGAAAUGCUCAUAAAUAAUACGUAUGAGAGAUGACGGUACCAUUAAAGAAAGCACCGGCUAAACUCGUGCCAGCAGCCGCGGUAAUACGAGUGGUGCAAACGUUAUUCGGAAUUACUGGGCGUAAAGGGUGCGUAGACGGUAUAGUAAGUCAACUGUUUAAUUUUCCGGCCUAACCGGAAGCUAGCGGUAGAAACUGCUGUACUAGAGGGUGGAAGAGAGAAGUGGAAUUCUCGGAGUAGCGGUAAAAUGCGUAGAUCUCGAGAGGAACACCAAUGGCGAAGGCAGCUUCUUGGUCCAUUUCUGACGUUGAGGCACGAAAGCGUGGGGAGCAAACAGGAUUAGAUACCCUGGUAGUCCACGCUGUAAACGAUGAUCACUGGACGUUAAUUUUGCUUUGCAAGAUUAGUGUCGUAGCUAACGCGUUAAGUGAUCCGCCUGGGGAUUACGGUCGCAAGACUAAAACUUAAAGGAAUUGACGG